AACGCACAUUGCGCCCUAUGGUAUUCCGUAGGGCAUGCCUGUUCGAGCGUCAUUUACACCUUCAAGCUCCGCUUGGUGUUGGGUGACUGUGGCCCCUCGGGGCCACUCGCCUCAAAGUCAUUGGCGGCCGGUUUGUAGGCUUCGAGCGCAGCACAUGUGCGUCUUCGUGCCUCGCGGAUCGGCUCCCAGAAGCUAAAUCUCACAUUUUUGACCUCGAAUCAGGUAGGGAUACCCGCUGAACUUAA
rnacentral:misc_RNA from 1 species